rnacentral:rRNA from 1 species
UGCCAGCCUCCGCUGUAAUCCGGAGUGUGCAGUCGUUAAUCGGAAUUACUGGGCGUAAAGCGCGUGUAGGCUGUUCGUUAAGUCUGAUGUGAAAGCCCGGGGCUCAACCCCGGAAGUGCAUUGGAAACUGGCGAACUUGAGUACGGGAGAGGAAAGUGGAAUUCCGAGUGUAGGGGUGAAAUCCGUAGAUAUUCGGAGGAACACCAGUGGCGAAGGCGGCUUUCUGGACCGAUACUGACGCUGAGACGCGAAAGCGUGGGGAGCAAACAGGAUUAGAUA